rnacentral:rRNA from 1 species
CCUACGGGUGGCAGCAGUGGGGAAUAUUGGGCAAUGGGCGCAAGCCUGACCCAGCAACGCCGCGUGAAGGAAGAAGGCUUUCGGGUUGUAAACUUCUUUUCUCAGGGACGAAGCAUGUGACGGUACCUGAGGAAUAAGCCCCGGCUAACUCCGUGCCAGCCGCCGCGUUAAUACGUAGGGGGCAAGCGUUAUCCGGAUUUACUGGGUGUAACGGGCGUGUAGGCGGGAAAGCAAGUCAGAAGUGAAACCCAUGGGCUCAACCUGUGGCCUGCAUUUGAAACUGUGUUUCUUGAGUACUGGAGAGGCAGACGGGAUUCCUAGUGUAGCGGUGAAAUGCGUAGAUAUUAGGAGGAACACCAGUGGCGAAGGCGGUCUGAUGGACAGCAACUGACGCUGAGGCGCGAAAGCGUGGGGAGCAAACAGGAUUAGAUACCCUUGUAGUC